UACGUAGGCAGCGAGCGUUGUUCGGAGUUACUGGGCGUAAAGGGUGCGUAGGCGGUUGUUUAAGUUUGGUGUGAAAUCUCCCGGCUCAACUGGGAGGGUGCGCCGAAUACUGAAUGACUAGAGUGCGGGAGAGGAGAGUGGAAUUCCUGGUGUAGCGGUGAAAUGCGUAGAUAUCUGGAGGAACACCGGUGGCGAAGGCGGCAUCCUGGACCAACACUGACACUGAAAAGCGAAAGCCAGGGGAGCAAACGGG
rnacentral:rRNA from 1 species